rnacentral:rRNA from 1 species
UGGGGAAUCUUCCACAAUGGACGCAAGUCUGAUGGAGCAACGCCGCGUGAGUGAAGAAGGUCUUCGGAUCGUAAAACUCUGUUGUUAGAGAAGAACACGAGUGAGAGUAACUGUUCAUUCGAUGACGGUAUCUAACCAGCAAGUCACGGCUAACUACGUGCCAG